rnacentral:rRNA from 1 species
UACGGAGGGUGCGAGCGUUGUCCGGAAUCAUUGGCGUAAAGGGCGCGUAGGUGGCCCGGUCAGUCGAUGGUGAAAGCGCGGGGCUCAACUCCGCGUCGGCCGUCGAUACUGCUGGGCUUGAGCACUGUAGAGGCAGCGGAAUUCCGGGUGUAGCGGUGAAAUGCGCAGAUAUCGGGAGGAACGACCGAUGGCGAAGGCAGCACGUCGUGGCCGGCACUGACGCUGAGGAGCGAAAGCG